AUUCCAGCUCCAAUAGCGUAUAUUAAAGUUGUUGCAGUUAAAAAGCUCGUAGUUGGAUUUCUGGGAGGGUGCCAAUGUCCGUCGUCGUACGUGUUGCAGCGGCGCCCUUCCAUCCUUCUGUUAACGACUUUGGGCAUUCACUUGCCGGAGUCGGGCUCAGAUAUUUUACCUUGAGAAAAUUAGAGUGUUUCAGGCAGGCUAGGCCGGAAUACAUUAGCAUGGAAUAAUGGAAUAGGACUACGGUCUCUUUGUUGGUUUGAGGAACUGCAGUAAUGAUUAAUAGGGAUAGUUGGGGGUAUUCGUAUUUAAUUGUCAGAGGUGAAAUUCUUGGAUUUAUGAAAGACGAACUUCUGCGAAAGCAUUUACCAAAGAUGUUUUCAUCG
rnacentral:rRNA from 1 species